GACGCUCAUAACCUAGCCCAACCUCCCCCCCCCCAUCAUCUACCUCCCCCCAAAAAAUAAAUAAAACAUUCUUCAUCUCUAGUAGAUGCGAUCAAAAAAGAAUUUGGAGCCACAUAUAUAGUACCGCAAGGGAAAAGUGAAAUAGAAAUUAAAUAAAUACUUAAGCUUAAAAAAGCAGAGACCCCAACUUGUACCUUUUGCAUUAUGGUCUAACUAGUCCAUCCAGGCAAAAAGAUUUUUAGUCUGAUUUCCCGAAACUAAGUGAGCUACUCCGAGGCAACCCUAAGAGUUAACCCAUCUCUGUGGCAAAAGAGUGGGAUGACCUCCGAGUAGAGGCGAUAUACCUAUCGAACUUAGUGAUAGCUGGUUACUCAAGAAAAGAAUUUUAGUUCAACCUUAAAGGAACUUAGCCUCUUCUUCCUCGACAAGCACCCUUAAUCCUUUAAGAUCUAUUCAAUAAGGGUACAGCCUUAUUGAAAAAGGAUACAACCUAAAACUCAGGUUAAUGAUAUUUUCCUAAAACAGGAGCUGUUGGCUUAAGAGCAGCCACCUUUUAAAUAGCGUCAAAGCUUUCUCCUUAACAAUACUUAAUUCCUAAAUCUUCUCAGAACCCGAUUUUAAUAUUGAGUCUUUCUAUACCCCUAUAGAAGUGUUUAUGUUAGAACUAGUAACACAGAAUUAUUUCUCUCUAUGUAAGUGUAAAUCAGAUUGAAUACAUCACUGAUAAUUAUUCAGUAAUGAAAACAAUGUAGCAACUUGACUAGAAAACCCUACUGUCUUUACUGUUAACCUAACACAAGAACAUAAGAAAAAGAUUUAAAGACAAAGAAGGAAUUCGGCAAAUACGGAUCCCGCCUGUUUACCAAAAACAUCGCCUUUUGCACAAUAUAAAAGGUAGUGCCUGCCCAGUGACUCAGUGUUCAACGGCCGUGGUAUUUUGACCACGCAAAGGUAGCGUAAUCACUUGUUUUUUAAUUAAAGACUUGUAUGAACGGCUUCACGAGGACCCAACUGUCUCCUCUGUCUAAUCAGUGAAACUGAUCUCCUCGUGCAGAAGCGAGGAUAAUCGCAUAAGACGAGAAGACCCUAUGGAGCUUUAAACUAAUAUCAACAAUUUUAUUACUCCUUCUUUACUGAAUUAAUACUUAACUAAAUCUGCUUGAUAAAAGUUUUAGGUUGGGGCGACCAUGGAGAAAAAAAAAUCCUCCCUGAUGAUUUCUUAACUGAGAGCUUCAGCUCUAAGUAUUAAAAUACUUAACUUCUAUUGACCCAUUAUAUGAUCAACGAACCAAGUUACCCUAGGGAUAACAGCGCAAUCCAUUUCAAGAGUCCCUAUCGACAAAUGGGUUUACGACCUCGAUGUUGGAUCAGGGCACCCAAG
rnacentral:rRNA from 1 species